AUUGAACGCUGGCGGCAUGCCUUACACAUGCAAGUCGAACGGCAGCACGGGAGCAAUCCUGGUGGCGAGUGGCGAACGGGUGAGUAAUAUAUCGGAACGUGCCCAGUCGUGGGGGAUAACGUAGCGAAAGCUACGCUAAUACCGCAUACGAUCUACGGAUGAAAGCGGGGGGUCGCAAGACCUCGCGCGAUUGGAGCGGCCGAUAUCAGAUUAGCUAGUUGGUGGGGUAAAAGCCCACCAAGGCGACGAUCUGUAGCUGGUCUGAGAGGACGACCAGCCACACUGGAACUGAGACACGGUCCAGACUCCUACGGGAGGCAGCAGUGGGGAAUUUUGGACAAUGGGCGAAAGCCUGAUCCAGCAAUGCCGCGUGCAGGACGAAGGCCUUCGGGUUGUAAACUGCUUUUGUACGGAACGAAACGGUCUCCUCUAAUACGGGGGGCUAAUGACGGUACCGUAAGAAUAAGCACCGGCUAACUACGUG
rnacentral:rRNA from 1 species